AAUACAAGUCUCAAACCACUACAGGAGCAGGACUCAAAAGUGGACCAUGCACAUGAUACAACAUUCUAAGACACAGACUUUUAUUUUCACCAAUCAAGAGAGAAAGGCCAAGGGCUGGUGAGAUGCCUCCAUGGGUAGAAGACCCUGCCACCAAGCUGGAAGCCCUGAGCUUGAUUCCCAGAACCCAUUUGGGAGAAGGAGAGAACCCACUCUUCAAGGUUGCCCUCUGAUCUACAUAUUUAACCUGUGGUGCCCUUGUGCACACAAAACAAAACAAAUAAUAGAAUUUUUUUUUUUUGGUCUUCUUCUUUGUUUUGUUUUUUGAGAUAGGGCUUCUCUGUGU
rnacentral:lncRNA from 1 species